GGCAAAGAUGAGCAAAGCUUUAUUUCUGACACCUCUUGUAUGAGAAGUGCCUUUGAAAAGGCUCUUCUUUGAGCACACAAAGCAACCCUCUGAGCC